rnacentral:rRNA from 1 species
UGCGGCAGCUACCAUGCAGUCGAGCGAGACCUUCAGGUCUAGCGGCGGACGGGUUAGUAACGCGUGGGAACGUGCCCUUCUCUGCGGAAUAGCCACUGGAAACGGUGAGUAAUGCCGCAUACGCCCUUCGGGGGAAAGAUUUGUCGGAGAAGGAUCGGCCCGCGUUAGAUUAGAUAGUUGGUGGGGUAACGGCCUACCAAGUCUACGAUCUAUAGCUGGUUUUAGAGGAUGAUCAGCAACACUGGGACUGAGACACGGCCCAGACUCCUACGGGAGGCAGCAGUGGGGAAUCUUAGACAAUGGGCGCAAGCCUGAUCUAGCCAUGCCGCGUGUGUGAUGAAGGUCUUAGGAUCGUAAAGCACUUUCGCCAGGGAUGGUAAUGACAGUACCUGGUAAAGAAACCCCGGCUAACUCCGUGCCAGCAGCCGCGGUAA